ensembl:lincRNA
AAUCCACUUUCUAUCAUCCAUCAUGAAUCCAGUCACAAAAUUUAGCAUACUGCUCAUCCUGACUCUAUGCCUUCUCUGCUCCACAGAGGCUCUGCAAUGUGUCAAGUGUAUAGUUAUUGGAUCUCCCAAGAUAUGUCAGUCAUCGCAAAAGUCCUGUACAGCUAAAGAAGGCCAGAAGUGCGGUCUAAAAAAAAUCACUUUGGGUAAACGUGUUACCGCAGUAACCCAGACAUGUACUAGUCAUUGCUUGAACACUACACUUGCUCACAAUAUGCUUCGUUUUCAUUACUCAUGUUGUGAAUCACAUGAUUUCUGUAACAAGUUCUAAAGGUCUUGCCCUUGCAUGUCCUAUUUUACAUAGAGAUGCUCAUUGAAUCAUAAUCCUGGAGCAUGUCAUCAAGCUUUAUUCUACUGAACUUUAUCUCCAGUAUCAUUCCCUGGUUUCUGCAUAACAUUUCUUAGAUACUGUUCCUAACCUAUAUGUAUACUUUAACAUUGGGAGCUCUGAACUGCAUUGUAUGCCUUCUGAAAUUUAUUUCACUUUCCAAUGUUUUCUUACAUUAUGUUUGAUUAAAUUUUCUUUACACUUA